CAUCCCUGAUGUUAGCGGCGGACGGGUGAGUAACACGUGGGUAACCUGCCUGUAAGACUGGGAUAACUCCGGGAAACCGGGGCUAAUACCGGAUGGUUGUUUGAACCGCAUGGUUCAAACAUAAAAGGUGGCUUCGGCUACCACUUACAGAUGGACCCGCGGCGCAUUAGCUAGUUGGUGAGGUAACGGCUCACCAAGGCGACGAUGCGUAGCCGACCUGAGAGGGUGAUCGGCCACACUGGGACUGAGACACGGCCCAGACUCCUACGGGAGGCAGCAGUAGGGAAUCUUCCGCAAUGGACGAAAGUCUGACGGAGCAACGCCGCGUGAGUGAUGAAGGUUUUCGGAUCGUAAAGCUCUGUUGUUAGGGAAGAACAAGUACCGUUCGAAUAGGGCGGUACCUUGACGGUACCUAACCAGAAAGCCACGGCUAACUACGUGCCAGCAGCCGCGGUAAUACGUAGGUGGCAAGCGUUGUCCGGAAUUAUU
rnacentral:rRNA from 1 species